AAGGUAGCCGUAUCGGAAGGUGCGGCUGGAUCACCUCCUUUCUAAGGAAUAUUACGGAGACUACACACGUUUGUCGAUACUUUGUUCAGUUUUGAGAGGUCUACUCAAAAUUUAACCCGGGGCCUUAGCUCAGCUGGGAGAGCGCCUGCUUUGCACGCAGGAGGUCAGCGGUUCGAUCCCGCUAGGCUCCAUUAACAACGUAUGUUGUUAUAUACUUGUUCAUUGAAAACUGGAUAUUGAAGUAAAAAUGUAAGUAAUACAAACCGAGAACACCGCGUUGAAUGAGUUUUUUAAUAAGUUCAAUUGCUUAUUUUUCUUGAUUGGACUUCUAUCGCUAGAAGAAAGAUCAAAACCCAACCGUAAGGUUGAUAAGGUUAAGUGAAUAAGGGCGCACGG
rnacentral:tRNA from 1 species